ensembl:lncRNA
ACAUAUGUGGAUCCUGCCUUACCUCUUUCCAAAAGCAAAGGGUGGUUGUUGAGCUCUCAUGUGAACAAUCUAAUGGACUUGCUCCAGAAGGCUGUGUAAACUCAGCUUUUCCCACUUGUUCCCGCCACAGCCUUGGCUAUUCAUCUCCCCAGGAGGCCGUCGUGACUGAAGUGAGCAGUGGCCUCUUGUUUCCUCCGUGCUGCAGACAGAGCUCUAUCCGUGUAACAUAUGAGCUUUCUAUAGUGGACAUAAUGACUCUGGGACAGAAAAAGAAAUACUUCAAGGAGCCAUGCUGACAAAAGAAGACAGAUAAAAGGCACCUUGCGCCUUUCUGUGGCAGACAGCAUAAGGAUACUUGAAGCUGAAGUGGCGGGUGGAACCUGCUGAGCUGUCUGGUGAGAGCAUCUGAGGUGCAGACCCUUAAAGAUGAUGGGCUUGCCAGGGUUGUGAGCAGGAGAAGAAUUUGACCCCUGGGACGGCUCCUGAUACGUUCAUGGACAAGGUGAGACCUGGGAUACGGAGCCCAUUUCUCCAGCAGAGGCUUUGGGAAAUGAAUCUUUCAGAAAUGACAGGAAGAAUUAGGAGGGUGACUUGGCCCUGGCUCACAUACCGGCUCCUACAAGAAAAUAUCUCGCUCCUGUUCCUAUGCAGAUUAUACCUACCCUUCUGUCAUCAGCAUCCACCAGCCCUCUGACAGAGUGACUUUGACUGCUCUUCUCUGUGUGGCAACUGAUGCACCCCGUGGCCCGCUCAGUCCUUUCUGCUUAAAUGACUUAUGUCCUGGCCUUCAUAAUUCUGUCAAAGAAAAUAUACAGCCUUCAUCUUUGUUAUCUUUCAUUGUGCCUAAAGAGGUCAGAAGUUCACAGCAGUUCGCCUAGAUAGCCUGGCUGAAUGUAAAUGUGGCCAUCAGUUUUGAUGCAAAAAGCCUGUGAGACAAAAUUGACAAUCUUCUUCCCACAAGUUUUGUGUGUGCAAGCAUGAAACUUGCCUUCCACCAGCAUUUGUACUGUCAUACAGCAUUAAUGGAAAGCACAAAUACCUGAGAAUGCAGCCAAAGCCAGUUCGCAGGAGGAGUGGAUGAAUGCUUGCAGGAAAUUCAAUGCUUCUCUCAUCCAUCACUAUUCACAUUGCCUUCCUUGCCUGCAGGUAGAGGCACAGAGACUUAUUGGAUGGGAUUCAUCUUACCUAACUUUAGACAUAUAUAGCACAGAUAUCUCUAUCUCAGCUUGUUGUCUAGACUCUUGUGAAAGUCAAUAGAGAGAAGCAAGCAGUUCCAAGCGCAAUUCAUCUGACCUAUUUUAGACACCUUCUUUAGGAAAAGAUGAAGCUUUCCCUAAAACUGCCUAUUUCUCUCUAGUGACUUCAGGAGAAUUCAGGCCAUUUAUUCAGGUGCAGACAUGUAUUCUGUGCUAGCUACAUGCGGUGAAUUCCACCCCUCUGGCACAUUAGAUAAUAUUUUUCCCACAGUUGAAUGAGCUUAAUGGGGCCUUUUUGGCCCCAAUAAAUUACCCAAUAUUCUCAUGGGCACUUUUUCCCCCCUAAAAGUGAAGCUGGUUACAUAAAGCAGUGGCAGAGCACAAUCCAGAAGCAGUCAACAGGUCAGUGUUGGCAAGUCAGUGUUGGCAGGUUGGCGUUGGCAGGCCAGCUCCUGACAGCCCGGUGAUGCUGCUCCCACCUGGGUGCUCCCAGUCUCCCUUGCUCCCACUCUCUCCCUGCGCCUGCCCACUGCUGCCUGCCUCUCUGAGCAGGACCCCAGGCAUCUGUCAGCCCGUGUGCCUCCUGCUGAGGACUGUGGUGCUUCAGCCCACACACUUCUGCUCAGGCUUCAGAUAAUGGCUUUUGCUGUUCCUGCUAUCGCUAUAUGAGAGCCAUUUAAUUGCAUCUUCCAUUCAGCUUGAAUAAAGGGUGAGUAGGACAU